rnacentral:rRNA from 1 species
GUGAGGAAUAUUGCGCAAUGGGGGAAACCCUGACGCAGCAACGCCGCGUGGGUGAAGAAGGCCUUCGGGUCGUAAAGCCCUUUCGGACGGGACGAAAACCUCGCGGGGAUAAUCCGCGGGGUCUGACGGUACCGUAGGAAGAAGCACCGGCUAACUCCGUGCCAGCAGCCGCGGUAAUACGGAGGGUGCAAGCGUUGUUCGGAAUUACUGGGCGUAAAGCGCGUGUAGGCGGCCUGGUAAGUCGGAUGUGAAAGCCCUCGGCUCAACCGGGGAAGUGCAUCUGAAACUGCCUGGCUUGAGUACGGGAGAGGGAGGCGGAAUUCCCAGUGUAGAGGUGAAAUUCGUAGAUAUUGGGAGGAACACCGGUGGCGAAAGCGGCCUCCUGGACCGAUACUGACGCUGAGACGCGAAAGCGUGGGGAGCAAACAGGAUUAGAAACCCCAGUAGUCC